rnacentral:lncRNA from 1 species
AUACUAUUGUGUUUGUUAAGGUGGUGGCGACACAGCAACGUGCUGCGCUAAGUGGGGCACCGAAGACAAGGUCUCCCACGUGUCCACCGGGGGCGGAGCCUCUUUGGAGCUGCUUGAAGGUAAAUUGUUGCCUGGGGUUGCCGCUCUUUCCGACGCAUAAAUCGAAAAACGCUAUCAUAAUAAGUUAUAGGUAUCUAUAUAAAGUCAAAUAUAUGUUAAGUAAAUAGUGCAAUGAAGAAAUUAAGCAUAAUAUUUUCGGCUCCGUAUGACUCGUUUAUUUAAUGAUAUUGUGAAAUUAUUAUAAUCACGAGUGUGUGUAUAGACACCUAUGUAUAUGUAUAUAGGUCCGAUAAAAGUUUCGUGUUGUUUAUUGUAAUAUUGAGAUUUAAAUAAAUGUUAUUCUAUGAUA